AUUGAACGCUGGCGGCAGGCCUAACACAUGCAAGUCGAGCGGAGCGGCGGACGGGUGAGUAAUGCCUAGGAAUCUGCCUGGUAGUGGGGGAUAACGUCCGGUAACGGGCGCUAAUACCGCUUACUAUCAGAUGAGCCUCGGUCGGAUUAGCUAGUGGGUGGGGUAAAGGCCUACCAAGGCGACGAUCCGGAUCUGGUCUGAGAGGAGGAUCAGUAACACUGGAACUGAGACACGGUCCAGACGCCGACGGGAGGCAGCAGUGGGGAAUAUUGGACAAUGGGCGAAAGCCUGAUACAGCCAUGCCGCGUGAGUGAAGAAGGUCUUCGGAUUGUAAAGCACUUUAAGUUGGGAGGCGUUACCAACAGAAUAAGCACCGGCUAACUUCGUGCCAGCAGCCGCGGUAAUUC
rnacentral:rRNA from 1 species